rnacentral:lncRNA from 1 species
GAUUCAAAAACACCAGAGGACCACGACCAGGACACCAUGAGCCCCCAUUCCUACACCAGUGCCUCACAUGCUCUCUCCCCAAUGCCUCCGUUUCUCCAGAAAAGCUAGAGGAACCUUUUCCUCAUCCCCUUCGAAGGUUAGAAGGUUUCAGAAGCCUGGAAAAGAAGAGACUCUAAGGGAGAAACCUUCCUCUUUUCCAAGUAUUUUAAUAGAGUAAAUUAAGGCCUUCUUUACGUGGCCAGCAGCAUCCCCUUCCCUUCUCCCCUUCCCCAGGAAAAGAUGAGUGAGGAUCUCCGCGUUGGAGGAAGAGGGAGUCGAAAGAGGCUUCCACUCUUUGAAAAAGACCCAAUGGUGGUUGGGCUUCGGGUCACGUGACACCUUCUUUGUGGCUCCGGAAGAGGAUUGUGAAGUUUAGGUUUCGUGGAAGAAACCGAUAAUUGAGGAAAAAAAAAAAUCAAGAUUUGGGGGGAAUUACCUACAAAGAUGUAAGGUGUGUUAAUUUGGGCGCUUCUUGGAUUCUACCCUGAGGAGGAGGCGCGUGAUCUUGAUCUGCCGCUCGCUGAGGUUCAGCAGGUUGGCCAUCUCUACACGGCGAGGCCGGCACAGGUAGCGGUUAAAAUGGAACUCCUUCU